UUUUCCCAAAAUUAAACUCAUUGGCUCAAACCAAAACCUAACAUCCAUAUCCCCUCUGAAGACGAUAACCUCUACAGUCUACCCACCUCUCUCAACCUGUGUAUCGUCUUCAAUUCUUCUUGUCUCCAGAUUCUCGACUGACUCUCUUCUAAGUCUAAUCGCUCGGCGAGGAGUCCUAUAAGGUGAGCCCUCAAUUUUCUGCUCCAUUGUUCCAACUGCCAAGGUGAAGCACAAAGGAAUAGAAAAAGAGACAUGGCAAUAGAAGAUUCACACAAGAAAUCGAA